GAAGGAGUUUAUAUUACUAUAUUUUUUUAACUACCUGGGGAGUUAAAAAAAAAUAUUCGGAUGCCCAGGCCGCACCCUAGAUCAAUUAAAUCAGAAUCUCUAGGGGGUGGGACUCUGGCAUCAAUACUUUUUAAAUCUUUCAAGGUGGGUUGCAAAGAGCAGCCAAGUUCGAGAACGACUGGUUUAGAUCGAACUGAAGGUACAGAUGCCAACAGAGACUGAGUCCGGAAGCACACAGGCUUCCUAAAUGCAUUCCCUAAUUGGCGACCAGGCUUCCUCCUGCAAGUUAGAGUGGUCUCUUGGUCAGAACCUGGGUCCUUUACGAUUCUGCUGCUUUUCUUCUGGCAUUUGCUGAGAGGUGAAAAGGCAUGAAGACAGUGAGCCUGCGGUUCUGAAUUCCUCUGACCUGGCAGACAACUCACUCUGUGCGAGGCUGAGUCCACUUCACUGUGGGUGCUUCGUCUGAGAACCGAGGAAGGCAUUAGACGCCUGCUCACUCAU